ACCUUCGUAGCUCAGUCGGCAGAGCGCUCGGCUUUUAACCGUGUGGUCGGGGGUUCGAGCCCCCCCGAGGGUG